rnacentral:rRNA from 1 species
GGCUCAGGACGAACGCUGGCGGCGUGCUUAACACAUGCAAGUCGAGCGGUAAGGCUCCUUCGGGAGUACACGAGCGGCGAACGGGUGAGUAACACGUGAGCAAUCUGCCCUUCACUUCGGGAUAACUCCGGGAAACCGGUGCUAAUACCGAAUACGACCACCUCAGGCAUCUGAUGGUGGUGGAAAGUUCCGGCGGUGAAGGAUGAGCUCGCGGCCUAUCAGCUUGUUGGUGGGGUAAUGGCCCACCAAGGCAACGACGGGUAGCCGGCCUGAGAGGGUGACCGGCCACACUGGGACUGAGACACGGCCCAGACUCCUACGGGAGGCAGCAGUGGGGAAUAUUGGACAAUGGGCGAAAGCCUGAUCCAGCAACGCCGCGUGAGGGAUGACGGCCUUCGGGUUGUAAACCUCUUUCAGCAGGGACGAAGCGAAAGUGACGGUACCUGCAGAAGAAGCACCGGCCAACUACGUGCCAGCAGCCGCGGUAAUACGUAGGGUGCGAGCGUUGUCCGGAAUUAUUGGGCGUAAAGGGCUCGUAGGCGGUCUGUCGCGUCGGGAGUGAAAACUCAGGGCUUAACCCUGAGCCUGCUUCCGAUACGGGCAGACUAGAGGUAUGCAGGGGAGAACGGAAUUCCUGGUGUAGCGGUGAAAUGCGCAGAUAUCAGGAGGAACACCGGUGGCGAAGGCGGUUCUCUGGGCAUUACCUGACGCUGAGGAGCGAAAGUGUGGGGAGCGAACAGGAUUAGAUACCCUGGUAGUCCACACCGUAAACGUUGGGCGCUAGGUGUGGGACUCAUUCCACGAGUUCCGUGCCGCAGCUAACGCA